rnacentral:rRNA from 1 species
UGCGGCGACGUGGGCGGUUCCCUGCCCGCGACGUUGUGAGAAGUCCACUGAACCUUAUCAUUUAGAGGAGGGAGAAGUCGUAACAAGGUUUCCGUAGGUGAACCUGCGGAAGGAUCAUUG